UAUGUUGGCCAAAACCAAUGAAUAGGAGGGAUUCGCAUAUUAGAUAGGAGUGAGGGUAGCAACACAGUAGUCAUUUACUGUUUAAGCUAAUUUUGAGUUAUUCCCUACUCUUUUACCCAUUUAUCUCUAUGGUAGGUAUUAACUGCAGCAUUAUGAUUAAAUGUCAUCUUCUGCUUUCCUCGAAUUUACUAAUUCAUGACUCUUAUAGAUUCUCCCCAUUUUUGGUACUUCCUUGAGCUUGUGGAUGAAUCUUUCAAAAAUAUCCAUUGCAAUUGUGGUACACAUGGAUGAGGUAAUUCAUAAAUUUCAUAUAACAGGGGCACAAGUGCUCUACAUGUCAAUCUUUUGCGAUAUUCCAAAAUGCCUAAACUUUACAAACGACAGCUACAAGCCAUGCGUUUUAAUCCUUCACUGCCAAUCGUUGGUAACAAUAGUUGUUUUGUCAGGUGGGAAGAAUACGUUUUGGGUCAUGUACAUAUGUAUUUUCAUAUAAGAAUGCGACAUAACAUCCUUCUUUAAAUUUAGUUUUGUUUAGAAAACUGUAAAAUUAUAAACUCGAAAUCUGUUGGUACCAUUAGUUUUUACUACAAUUGACAUUAGGUACAAUUUGUCUUACUAUCUUGGGAAAUUUUGGUGUAGAGGAAUGGAAAAGGGCUUGAAGAUGAGCUGCCUUUUGAAGCAAAUGGAGGCUACACCAAGUCAAGGAGGAGGAGCUUAAUUAAUGGUACAAUAGACACGCUGGCUGCACACUUAUUUGGUAAUAUGUUGCAGGUAUUUUUCUCUAAAAACGAAUGACUUGGAGAGAUAGUCUAGAGUCCUGAAUCUUUGCAUCAUGAGGAGGAUAUGGUUCAGUGGACAGAAAGUUUUAUAGGCUGAAGCUUUAUAGGCUGUUCUGUUUGAAAACCGCAGCUAGGAAGAUGACCGCAUAAUCAAGCAAGUUGGGAGACCUGGUGCUAAAAGAUUGUUUGUUCUUGCAAAGUUCUUACCAGGAGGAAAGCCAAUACUCAGUUGAGUGGUUGUGGCAAAUCCAACCAAGCAAGGAGAAACUCAAUGGCAGUUAAUGGUGAAUAGCAAGGAGGAGUUUAAUGAAAUUCUCAAUUUUUUCUCUUU